ensembl:lncRNA
AGACAGUAUGCUCAGCCUUGUGAUCUGUGCUGUGAUUAUUGAGGGAAUUGCAUAAAGAUUGAUUUUCUUUCCUGUUUCCCAUGGAGGAACCAGGAAAAUUAAGGUGAAAGAAGCUGAAGUGAAAGAGUAGCUCUGAUUCAUUCACUGAAGUGAUCGAGGCAUGAAGAGUUCACUGAUGUCUUUCCUGCUACGUAAGUUUUACUUCUUUCUCAUUGGUUUGACAAGUAUGGAGAUGUUGCACUGAUUGCUGACCCUACUUCUAUCCACCCAUUUAAAAUCUAGCCAAGGGUACAUUAACUAAAGGUAACAAAAUUUUGCUGUUAAUUUUUAUUAUUUGGAUGAGACCAAAUGUUGUUAACUACCCUUAUUAUCUUGUCCUUUCCUGCUUAAUUGAUUGUAACUGAAAGAAAUGUUAUAUCCUAUCUGUAAGCUUUUCUAACUCAUCUUCAGUGGCUGAAGAGCGAUGGGUCAUAUUUCAGGUUGACUUGGGUCUUUCACUGGUGAUGUCUUUGGUUGCAGGCUUUCAUGACGAAAUAGAGCAUCUUGCUACUCUUAUUAGACCUUGCCACUCCUACAAGGAACUUGUGUAUCUAUAUCUUUAAAUAUAUUCAUCAUUUGUGCUUUAAUGAUUUAUGUUGUUUUUUUUUUCCCAGUAUUUUUCAUUAGUGGUGUUCAAAUCCGAGAAUGAAUCUGAAGGACCAUUCCUCUGUUGUCAGGGUGCCUCUGCAAAUUCUGUGCUGGACUUCUACAACCAGUGUCAUUGAUAACCUUGUUAUUUCCCAGUCUCACAUCUGCUUAUCUGCGUAGGUUUGCUGAAUGCUCGCUUCCUCAACAAAGUAAGUGUCCUUGUGUGGUUGAAGAGAAGGCACAACACUUCCAACUUUGUCCUCAU